rnacentral:lncRNA from 1 species
AGAAGAUUCUGUCUUCUUCAGUCAUCAUAUAUUUAUUUCAGAAGAGAAGCUCCUUUACACUUAAGAAUUCUGAAAUCAGAUUGUAUCUUUACAUGCAUUUUUUACAUAGGUAUAUUUUUGUCUUUUGCAGUCAGACUUUCAGUUCUACCAUGCCUGGGAAUCUCAUUCCUAACAUCCAGAGGAAUCUCAAAGUCUUCCAUCCCUAGAAAAUUUUCAAAUUGUGAUGGGAGUUUUCAUUUUAUGUGUGUAAAAAAAAAAAAAAAAAUUCUUCUAACAGCACAGCAUGCCUCCCAGCAACAAUAUCUAUUCAGAAAGAACUUCUUCUGUGCUCAAGGACAUGAGGUGAUGCUGGAUAUUUUCUCUAGUAGCUUGUCACAGAAGUUAAAGAACAAGGGGAAUAGAAUUCAAGAAAGGGAAGAAUCUGGAAGAAAGUGA